UCUCCGUAGGUGAACCUGCGGAGGGAUCACUACAGAGUUCAUGCCCUACCGGGUAGAUCUCCCACCCUAUGUUAUUAUUACUUUUUUGCUUUGGCGGGCCGUUAGGCUCCGGCCCGACUACCGGCCCCGGCUGGUAAGCGCCCGCCAGAGGACCCAAAACCCUGAAUAUUAGUGUCGUCUGAGUACUAUAUAAUAGUUAAAACUUUCAACAACGGAUCUCUUGGUUCUG
rnacentral:misc_RNA from 1 species